rnacentral:miRNA from 1 species
CCAGCAGACCCUCCCUCCCAGACCCUCCUACUUCCUGGACAGCAGGAAGUAGGAGGGUCUGGGAGGGAGGGUCUGCUGGAGGGAGG